AGGGUUUGAUCCUGGCUCAGAACGUACGCUGGCGGCACGCCUAAUACAUGCAAGUCGAACGAAGUAGCAAUACUUAGUGGCAGACGGGUGAGUAACAUGUGGGUAUCUUCCCUUUGGUGAGGAAUAACACGAGGAAACUUGUGCUAAUACCUCAUAAGUCUUUACAGAGAAAGCUUUAUGCGCCAUUGGAUGAGCCCGCACUUGAUUAGUUUGUUGGUGGGGUAAUGGCCUACCAAGACAAUGAUCAAUAGCUGAUUUGAGAGGAUGAUCAGCCACAUUGGGACUGAGACACGGCCCAAACUCCUACGGGAGGCAGCAGUAGGGAAUCUUGCACAAUGGAGGAAACUCUGAUGCAGCGAUGCCGCGUGAGUGAAGAAGGCCUUUGGGUUGUAAAGCUCUUUCGUCGGGGAAGAAAAUGACUGUACCCGAAUAAGAAGGUCCGGCUAACUUCGUGCCAGCAGCCGCGGUAAUACGAAGGGACCUAGCGUAGUUCGGAAUUACUGGGCUUAAAGAGUUCGUAGGUGGUUAAAAAAGUUGGUGGUGAAAUCCCAGAGCUUAACUCUGGAACUGCCAUCAAAACUUUUUAGCUAGAGUAUGAUAGAGGAAAGCAGAAUUUCUAGUGUAGAGGUGAAAUUCGUAGAUAUUAGAAAGAAUACCAAUUGCGAGGGCAGCUUUCUGGAUCAUUACUGACACUGA
rnacentral:rRNA from 1 species